GACGAACGCUGGCGGCGUGCCUAAUACAUGCAAGUAGAACGCUGAAGGAGGAGCUUGCUUCUCUGGAUGAGUUGCGAACGGGUGAGUAACGCGUAGGUAACCUGCCUGGUAGCGGGGGAUAACUAUUGGAAACGAUAGCUAAUACCGCAUAAUAGUAGAUGUUGCAUGACAUUUGCUUAAAAGGUGCAAUUGCAUCACUACCAGAUGGACCUGCGUUGUAUUAGCUAGUUGGUGAGGUAACGGCUCACCAAGGCGACGAUACAUAGCCGACCUGAGAGGGUGAUCGGCCACACUGGGACUGAGACACGGCCCAGACUCCUACGGGAGGCAGCAGUAGGAAAUCUUCGGCAAUGGACGGAAGUCUGACCGAGCAACGCCGCGGGAGUGAAGAAGGUUUUCGGAUCGGAAAGCUCUGUUGUAAGAGAAGAACGAGUGUGAGAGUGGAAAGUUCACACUGUGACGGUAUCUUACCAGAAAGGGACGGCUAACUACGUG
rnacentral:rRNA from 1 species